rnacentral:rRNA from 1 species
UACGUAGGUGGCAAGCGUUGUCCGGAUUUACUGGGCGUAAAGCGCGCGCAGGCGGUUUCUUAAGUCUGAUGUGAAAGCCCCCGGCUCAACCGGGGAGGGUCAUUGGAAACUGGGAAACUUGAGUGCAGAAGAGGAAAGUGGAAUUCCAAGUGUAGCGGUGAAAUGCGUAGAGAUUUGGAGGAACACCAGUGGCGAAGGCGACUUUCUGGUCUGUAACUGACGCUGAGGCGCGAAAGCGUGGGGAGCAAACAGG